rfam:TPA: Bos taurus chromosome 17, whole genome shotgun sequence.
UCUCUGGUGGUCCAGUGGUGAGGACUCUCAGCUUCCACUACAGGGGGCACAGGUUCGAUCCCUGGUCAGGGAA